rnacentral:piRNA from 1 species
UAAAAUAUUACUAAGGCUUCAGUUGAGAGC